AAGACCUUGUGCUUUUGGAGCGGCCGAUGCCUGAUUAGCUAGUUGGUGGGGUAAAGGCCUACCAAGGCUACGAUCAGUAGUUGGUCUGAGAGGACGACCAGCCACACUGGGACUGAGACACGGCCCAGACUCCUACGGGAGGCAGCAGUGGGGAAUUUUGGACAAUGGGCGAAAGCCUGAUCCAGCAAUGCCGCGUGAGUGAAGAAGGCCUUCGGGUUGUAAAGCUCUUUCAGUCGAGAAGAAAAGGUUGUGACUAAUAAUCACAAUUCAUGACGGUAUCGACAGAAGAAGCACCGGCUAACUACGUGCCAGCAGCCGCGGUAAUACGUAGGGUGCAAGCGUUAAUCGGAAUUACUGGGCGUAAAGGGUGCGCAGGCGGCUUUGUAAGUCAGAUGUGAAAUCCCCGGGCUUAACCUGGGAAUU
rnacentral:rRNA from 1 species